CACGCAGGCGGUCCAUUAAGUCCUUUGUGAAAGCCCGGGGCUCAACUCCGGAAUUGCAUCGGAUACUGGCGGACUGGAGAUCGGUAGAGGCUAGCGGAAUUCCUGGUGUAGCGGUGGAAUGCGUAGAUAUCAGGAAGAACACCUGUGGCGGAGGCGGCUAGCUGGGCCGAAUCUGACGCUCAUGUGCGAAAGCGUGGGGAGCAAACA
rnacentral:rRNA from 1 species